GUGUAUUUGACACUGUGCAGAAACCCUGUCUCCAGCAUGAAGACUAUAUGAUGGCCCAUGGCUCACACUUCCCUAAGAAGGGGACCCCAGAUUCCAUAUCCACAUCAGACUUGAGACAUGUACGCAUGCUCCUACUCCUUGGAGAAGCCUCCAACCACCAACCUGAGGACUAAGGAGCACAUGGUGCAAAAUUCCUGGAUCUUGGAACUGCAGCUGUCCUGGAUAUUCAAAGCUACAUAACAAUGAAGAUCACAUUCGUGAGAUAACAUCACAUCCCAAACACUUCUUCAGGGUGAGGCCCUACCCUGGCAAAGGGCUUAAGUAAGUGCCAGAAUCUCUCUUUCCAGUUAGAGCAUGUAACACAAUGGAAACAGCAAUAACAGCAGAGCGGCAAGGUCCUAGGCUGCAGCAAGUGACUAUUCAACCAAAUGCAAUAGCCAUGGGCACAGAAAUGAAGGAAAAAAGCUGCUUACCUACAGAAG
ensembl:lncRNA